rnacentral:rRNA from 1 species
GGGUUGUGAGGUUAAGCGACUAAGCGUACACGGUGGAUGCCCUGGCAGUCAGAGGCGAUGAAGGACGUGCUAAUCUGCGAUAAGCGCCGGUAAGGUGAUAUGAACCGUUAUAACCGGCGAUUUCCGAAUGGGGAAACCCAGUGUGAUUCGUCACACUAUCAUUAACUGAAUCCAUAGGUUAAUGAGGCGAACCGGGGGAACUGAAACAUCUAAGUACCCCGAGGAAAAGAAAUCAACCGAGAUUCCCCCAGUAGCGGCGAGCGAACGGGGAGGAGCCCAGAGCCUGAAUCAGCAUGUGUGUUAGUGGAAGCGUCUGGAAAGGCGCGCGAUACAGGGUGACAGCCCCGUACACAAAAGCGCAUGUGCUGUGAGCUCGAUGAGUAGGGCGGGACACGUGGUAUCCUGUCUGAAUAUGGGGGGACCAUCCUCCAAGGCUAAAUACUCCUGACUGACCGAUAGUGAACCAGUACCGUGAGGGAAAGGCGAAAAGAACCCCGGCGAGGGGAGUGAAAAAGAACCUGAAACCGUGUACGUACAAGCAGUGGGAGCCCCACCACUAAGCCAGUGGUGAACUCCACAUCCGCAUCCUUUGCUGAGGAUACGGUUAACGGAGCGAAAGCGACGUUCAACCGCAAAACAAGCAGAGGGGGCUUAGUGGUGGGGUGACUGCGUACCUUUUGUAUAAUGGGUCAGCGACUUAUAUUCUGUAGCA